rnacentral:misc_RNA from 1 species
GAUGAAGAACGCAGCGAAAUGCGAUACGUAGUGUGAAUUGCAGAAUUCCGUGAACCAUCAAAUCUUUGAACGCAUAUUGCGCUCGAGGCUUCGGCCGAGAGCAUGUCUGCCUCAGCGUCGGUAUUACCCCUCGCUUCUCAACCCCUGGUUGAUGCCUGCCUGCCUUUGCAGUUGGCUAGAAGCGGAUCUGGCUUUCCCAAUUGCCUUUGGUAGUUGGGUCAGCUGAAGCACAGAGGCUUGAGCAAGGACCCUUAUUGGGCUUCAACUGGAUAGGUAGAACUGGUCUUAGGACCAACUACACGAAGUUGUUGGUUGUGGUCUGUGUCUGGAGGCCAGCAGGAAACCUUUAUACCUUCGACCUGAGCUCAGGCAAGAUUACCCGCUGAACUUAAGCAUAUCAAUAAGCGGAGGA